rnacentral:rRNA from 1 species
UACGUAGGGUGCAAGCGUUAUUCGGAAUUAUUGGGCGUAAAGCGCGUGUAGGUGGUUAUCUAAGUCGAUUGUAAAAGCCCUAGGCUCAACCAAGGAAGUGCAUUCGAAACUAGUUAACUAGAGGACGGCAGAGGAAGGUGGAAUUCCAAGUGUAGAGGUGAAAUUCGUAAGAUAUUUGGAGGAAUACCGGCGGCGAAGGCGGCCUUC